AAAUGAAUUGACGGGGGCCCGCACAAGCAGCGGAGCAUGUGGUUUAAUUCGAAGCAACGCGAAGAACCUUACCAGGUCUUGACAUCCAGUAAAACUUGUAGAGAUACAUCGUGACUUCGGUCAUACUGAGACAGGUGGUGCAUGGUUGUCGUCAGCUCGUGUCGUGAGAUGUUGGGUUAAGUCCCGCAACGAGCGCAACCCUUAUCGUCCGUUACUAACGCGUAGAGGCGAGGACUCAGACGAGACCGCCGGGGACAACUCGGAGGAAGGUGGGGACGACGUCAAAUCAUCAUGCCCCUUACGACCUGGGCUACACACGUGCUACAAUGGGUACAACAAAGAGACGCGAGACCGCAAGGUGGAGCAAAACUCAUAAAAGUACUCUCAGUUCAGAUUGUGGGCUGCAACCCGCCCACAUGAAGUUGGAGUUGCUAGUAAUCGCGAAUCAGCAUGUCGCGGUGAAUACGUUCCCGGGCCUUGUACACACCGCCCGU
rnacentral:rRNA from 1 species